rnacentral:rRNA from 1 species
GCUGGAUUCGCUAGUAAUCGCGCAUCAGCCACGGCGCGGUGAAUACGUUCCCGGGCCUUGUACACACCGCCCGUCAAGCCAUGGAAGCCGGGGGUGCCUGAAGUGCGCUGCCGCGAGGAGCGCCCUAGGGUAAAACCGGUGACUGGGGCUAAGUCGUAACAAGGUACC